AGCAGCCGCGGUAAUUCCAGCUCCAAUAGCGUAUAUUAAAGUUGUUGCAGUUAAAAAGCUCGUAGUUGAAUUUCGGGAUCAGUUCGCUGGUCGUGCCUUCGGUAUGUACUGGUGUUACUGGUUCCUACCUUCUGACGAACCGUCAUGUCAUUAAUUUGGUGUGGCGGGGAAUCAGGACUGUUACUUUGAAAAAUUAGAGUGUUUAAAGCAGGCUCGCGCUUGAAUACAUUAGCAUGGAAUAAUGAAAUAGGACGUUCGAUCCUAUUUUGUUGGUUUCUAGGAUUGACGUAAUGAUUAAUAGGGAUAGUUGGGGGCAUUAGUAUUCAAUUGUCAGAGGUGAAAUUCUUGGAUUUAUUGAAGACUAACUACUGCGAAAGCAUUUGCCAAGGAUGUUUUCAUUAAUCAAGAACGAAAGUUAGGGGAUCGAAGACGAUCAGAUACCGUCGUAGUCUUAACUAUAAACUAUGCCGACU
rnacentral:sRNA from 1 species